UACGUAGGUCCCGAACGUUGCGCGAAUUUACUGGGCGUAAAGGGUACGUAGGCGGUUUAGCAAGUGGUUGGUGAAAUUUCACGGCUCAACCGUGAAACUGCCUUCCAAACUGCUAAACUUGAGGCAGGGAGAAGUCGGCGGAAUUCACGGUGUAGCGGUGAAAUGCGUAGAUAUCGGGAGGAACACCAGUUGCGAAGGCGGCCGACUGGAAAUGUCCUGACGCUGAGGGACGAAAGCUAGGGGAGCAAACCGG
rnacentral:rRNA from 1 species